rnacentral:sRNA from 1 species
UUUUAGCCCCGAUAGCAGUGAAAAUCCUUUUAUUUUUUUCUUUAAAAAAUAAAAUAUUGAAACGGAUAGCGGGAUUAGCU